AAUCAGCCCCUCAUGCGCAGACAGCAUCAUGGUCUUGUUCUCAGCCAUGUUCCAGAGUUAUAGAUACUGGUAACAACCAAUGACCAGCAAUGAAUGAUAAGUUGCGUGGAAAUCGCAGGAGUGAAAAAAUGGUAAGCCCACCAGUCUAAGUCCAAUCUAAAUAGUAAGUACUUCUAGUGCUCCAAUACCAAUUCACAAAUUUCUGAGAAAUGGGUAGAGAUCCCAAAACCACCUAUGAACAGAUAUCAAUCAGCUUGUUACUCUGGAGAAGAGAGAGCAGGUACAAAUGGAAGAUGGGCUUCACAUAUUAAAACUGUGGUAAAAAAAGCAGGGAAUCGAACAAGUUAAAUUAAGGACCCUUUUUUAAAAAGCACCCUCAUUCCCUUCACUUAGAUGAUAUCAAAGGGGACAAAAACAUUAUAUCUCAGCUAAGGCCAACAAAUGAAUUUGUACAGUAUGGAUGGACAACAAUAUGGUUUUUUUGCCUUCAACAAUUUGCCAAAAAUGCAGGACUUCUCCCUUUUUCCCACAUUAUAACUUAAAGAGAACCCUGCAUUCAAAGCUUCAUUUAUCCUUUUGUAAGCAUUACCAAAUUUCUCCUUUUUCCCACAUUACAACUUAAAGCAUUACCACUUUCACAAACAGAUCAUCACGAUGUUAGUUCUAUAGUAUAAGGUACCAGUAUAAGCAAUAAAAGGACUCACAGUACUACAAGAACUUAGAAUAACCAUCCCGCCCUGGGAAGCCAUUGCAAUAAGGUCAACCAUACCCUGACUGAGUCUUCCCUAACAGAUGCUACAUAAUCGCCUGUGGGAUCCCAACACACAGAAUGGACAGACUUUGUGUGUCCCUGUAAUGAAUGCGUACAAGCUUCGGUCUCAACAUCCAGUAUUGAUACAACAUUUUCAGCACCAGCCACGAGGUACCUACCAAGACGGGGCUGGAAUCUCAUCUAGGUUGUCCCACCCUAGAAGACUCUAGCACAGCUACCAUCAUUAAUACUCCAGUACCAUAUUUCACUAUCCCCAUCACAAGAGCAGAUGAGAUCCUCUUUACUUGAACUUGCUCGGAUUUUGUGAUUACUGUUGAUGCUGUUGUGAUUUUGUUCAUUUGAUUCUGUGGUGAUAUUCUUCAGGCCUCACUGCAGGAAAAUUGCUGUGUAGCUAUAUUUUCAUAUCAAAUCCAAGGAUUGUCAGUAUUUUCUUUACUUUUAGUUGACCCUUUAUUUCAUUUGUUUGAUGUAAAUGUGAAAGGCCAUUUCUAAGUCAAUAUCUCCAAGGCUAUGUUCUACUAAUUUUAGUUUUGCAGAUUUUUUUGGGUAUUUAAAGCAGGAAACAAUUACAAAAUCCGUCACUCAGAUUGUGCAAGAACAACAUGGAAAGUUUGGGCACGAAUUCUUGGUUCAUUUAGUAAAUGGGAUCAUAAUACACCACCACACUCCUCAGCCGAUGUCCAUGGUGGCUCACCAUGACAGAACUCACUCUAGCUUAUGUCCAGAUGCAUUGAGGUUGGAAAGUUUCGAGCUUGUGCAACCCAGCUCCCUUGCAAGCCAACACAGGCCUGGAUGGAAAAUGUGCGACAUCCAAGCUGUCCAUCAGUCGGCUUAACAACAACAGUUUGACGGGUAACAUACCCAUGUCUUUGACAAAUGUCACCGCACUGCAAGUUCUGGAUCUAUCCAACAACAAGCUAACAGGGGGAGUUCCAGAUAAUGGGACAUUUUCACUAUUCACUCCCAUCAGUCCGAUGGGUUUCCCACGCUUCUUUUCUUCCCAGCAGGAAAUAAGAACUUUGAUCCGAUUACUGUUGAUACAGAUCGAACAGUGGUGGCAUUCUACAAAUUCUUCAAGAAGCAUGCAUCGAUCCCUUUCAAGCUCCAGAGACCAGUCUCAGCUGCAAAGACAGAGGACAAGAGCCAGAAGAGCAGUAGCAAUGACGACAUGAAGGAUGAGUUGUGAGGGUUUUUUUCCCUAAGGCUGAGACUCAACAACAUGGGGCUGAAGAGCUACAAAGCAUUAAACAAAUACGGGUUUUUUGCCUACUUGUGAAGAUAAUCUAGUUCUGCACUCCAUCUAUGCUGCUGAAAAUUGCUGCUGCCCCUACUGUUUGAUCAGAUUUGGUAUCUCACUAUGACAGCCAAAUGGUCCAACUUUUUUUCGCGAAUAAUUUGUGAUGCUUUCAUUUCUUCUUGAUGCAAAAGUACCAGAUAUCUGGGUCUCCAACUCGAGAUCGUCCUGCCAUGUUUUCAUUACUCAUGCCCUAAUG